rnacentral:sRNA from 1 species
GCUUAGCCCCGAUAGCAGUGAAAAUCCUUUUUUGAUGUUUUUACCGAAAAAAGAUUGCAACGAAUAGCGGGAAAUAGC